UAGGGAAUCUUCCGCAAUGGGCGAAAGCCUGACGGAGCAACGCCGCGUGAGUGAUGAAGGUCUUCGGAUCGUAAAACUCUGUUAUUAGGGAAGAACAAAUGUGUAAGUAACUAUGCACGUCUUGACGGUACCUAAUCAGAAAGCCACGGCUAACUACGUGCCAGCAGCCGCGGUAAUACGUAGGUGGCAAGCGUUAUCCGGAAUUAUUGGGCGUAAAGCGCGCGUAGGCGGUUUUUUAAGUCUUAUGUGAAAGCCCACGGCUCAACCGUGGAGGGUCAUUGGAAACUGGAAAACUUGAGUGCAGAAGAGGAAAGUGGAAUUCCAUGUGUAGCGGUGAAAUGCGCAGAGAUAUGGAGGAACACCAGUGGCGAAGGCGACUUUCUGGUCUGUAACUGACGCUGAUGUGCGAAAGCGUGGGGAUCAAACAGG
rnacentral:rRNA from 1 species